AAGCAACACUCUGUGGCAAAUGUUAAUGAAGUCUUUUGCCCCAAUUUUUCGCUUGCUAAAUAAAAACAAGCUUAACCUACUCCAGUAAUCUCGUUGUGAGAUACUGUUAUGGAAGUUUGAACAUG
rfam:Xenopus laevis strain J chromosome 8S, whole genome shotgun sequence.